rnacentral:lncRNA from 1 species
AGUUGCAAACACCUAAUUUUUUAAAAUAAUAUCAGAAAUCUUCCUAGGUAAAUGAAGAUCACUGACUGUUUCCUCUCUGGGACAAUAUGCCAUUAUCUGAACCCAGCCUGAAGAUCCGUCUCGCCAUAGUCAUAAGGAUUCUGCUUGGAAAGAGAGUCAUUAUAGUGGCUUUUGACAGUAAUGACGCAGUGAACUCCAGAAGAGCUCCAUAAAAACAAUUCAGUUUUUUAAACAACUUACUAGAUUGCAGGGGCAUCUGGAGAACUGGGUGGGGAAGGAAAACAGAACUGAACCCAGUCUCAGGGAUUCAAAGAAAAUAUUGUUUCUACAACAAACCCUCAGAUUUUAUGCUCCAGAUAAUGGAAACAAGGAUGAACAGGUGUGAUCAAAGUGAUAGUGCAAAUCUGGCCCAGCUGGAUUCCCAGUCAAAUCAAGAUAACAAGCAAUUCCAUCUUUCUGAUAGAGGAAGGAAAAGACUCUCUCUGGGGACAAAUGAAGUUACCUUAAGUAUAUAUGAUCUCUAG